CGGGAUGUAGCGCAGCUUGGUAGCGCACUUCGUUCGGGACGAAGGGGCCGCAGGUUCAAAUCCUGUCAUCCCGA
rfam:Cyanothece sp. PCC 8801, complete genome.